AUCGUAGACAAUGAGGAAAAUAAAAAAUCAGAGGCAAGCUCGCUUGCCUCUGAUUUUUUAUUUGACGAAUGUCCGGAUAUGAGCAAGAAGCACCUAAGUGCGGAUUGCGAAUAUACGGAGGCUGGUGUAAGCCAGCCGUGUCUACGAU
rnacentral:ncRNA from 2 species